rnacentral:rRNA from 1 species
UACGGAGGGAGCUAGCGUUGUUCGGAUUUACUGGGCGUAAAGCGUGCGUAGGUGGUUCGGUAAGACCUGUGCGAAAUCCCUGGGCUUAACCCAGGAAGGUCGCAGGUGACUGCCGUGCUUGAGGACGGGAGAGGAGAGCGGAAUUCCCGGUGUAGCGGUGAAAUGCGUAGAGAUCGGGAAGAAGGCCGGUGGCGAAGGCGGCUCUCUGGAACGUUCCUGACACUGAGGCACGAAAGCGUGGGGAGCAAACAGG